rnacentral:rRNA from 1 species
CACCGCGGUUAUACGAGAGACCCAAGUUGAUAGCCCCCGGCGUAAAGAGUGGUUAAGAAAAACUAGACACUAAAGCCGAAUGCCCUCAAAGCUGUUAUACGCACCCGAAGGCAAGAAGAACAAUCACGAAAGUGGCUUUAUUAAACCUGAACCCACGAAAGCUACGGUA